UGCAGGUGGGGAGCUGGGGCUGGAACCGGGAGCCUUACACCGGCCCUUGCUCUUCGCGCCACCUGUGCUUAACCCGCUGCGCUACCACCCAACCCAGUCAUUUUUUUGUUUUUAACAAAUCAUUGUAUAUUUUAUUAUUAUUAUUAUUUUUUUAACCAGAGCACUGCUCAGCUCUGGCUUAUUGUGGUGAAGAGGAUUGAACCUGGGACUUUGGAGCUUUGGGCAUGAGUCUGUUUAUGUAACCAUUAUGCUAUCUAUCCCAACCCCCCUAUUUUUUUAAUUGCCACUAGGGUUACUUCUGGGACUUGGUGUUUGCACUUUGAGUCUCCUGCUCCUGAUGGCCUUUUUCUUUCUUUUUUCCUUUUAUUUGAUAGAACAGAAAGAAAUUGAGAGGGAAAGGGAAGAUAGAGAAAGAGAGACACCUGCAAUACUUGCUUCAGUGCUUAUGAAGCUUCCCUCCUGCAGGGAAUUGAACCUGGGACCUUGGAGCCUCAGUUGAUGGACCCCAUAAAAAGAUGAGGAGAUCAGAGACAGAUGGACAGAUGGCCCAAGAAUCAUAGAGGUGACAAACACCCAACAAUAACAGCACAAAUGAACCAAAGACCACAUGAAAACAGAAGACAAGAUGUGCAGCUGGGGAGAUACCCAGUGACCAGAGUUCCAGACUUGCAUGUCUGAGUUUCCUGGUUCAGGCCUGGAGUGAUGUUCUAGCUUUCCUCUCUCUCUCUCUCCCCCUAUUAUAUGAAACAUUCUCUGCCUCUCACGAAAGAAAUAAAAAUACA